rnacentral:misc_RNA from 1 species
GAUGAAGAACGUAGCGAAAUGCGAUAAGUGAUGUGAAUUGCAGAAUUCAGUGAAUCAUCGAAUCUUUGAACGCACAUUGCGCCCGCCAGUAUUCUGGCGGGCAUGCCUGUUCGAGCGUCAUUUCAACCAUCAAGCCCCCGGCUUGUGUUGGGGACCUGCGGCUGCCGCAGGCCCUGAAAUGCAGUGGCGGGCUCGCUGUCACUCCGAGCGUAGUAGUUACAUCUCGCUCUGGGCGUGCUGCGGGUUCCGGCCGUUAAAAGCCUUAUUUACCCAAGGUUGACCUCGGAUCAGGUAGGAAGACCCGCUGAACUUAAGCAUAUCAAUAAGCGGAGGA